rnacentral:rRNA from 1 species
GAUCAUUAAUGAGUGUGAGUUGUAACCCAACUCGACCUCCCAUCCUUUGUUUAUACAACCAUUGUUGCUUCGGUGUGGGUUCGUCCCUACCGACAGCCUUGAACAUUCUGAAAUUGUGAAGUCUCAGUCUUUGAUAUAAUCAAAACAAAACUUUCAACAACGGAUCUCUUGGUUCUGGCAUCGAUGAAGAACGCAGCGAAAUGCGAUAAGUAAUGCGAAUUGCAGAAUUCCGUGAGUCAUCGAAUCUUUGAACGCACAUUGCGCCCUUUGGUAUUCCGAAGGGCAUGCCUAUUUGAGCGUCAUUAUCAACCCUCAAGCCCUGGCUUGGUGUUGGAAGCCGCGAGUGUUGCACUCUCGCUUCCCAAAGACAAUGAUGUGUCUGGUAGACGAUCAGUACANUGAGCUUCGGCACGUAUUGAGACCUUUACCCGCACCCGUCUUUCUUUUAUUUUUAACAAGGUUGACCUCAAAUUAGGUAGGAAUACCCGCUGAACUUAAGCAUAUCAAUAAGCGGAGGAAAAGAAACCAACAGGGAUUACCUCAGUAACGGCGAGUGAAGCGGUAAUAGCUCAAAUUUGAAAUCUAACUCCUUCGGAGUUCGAGUUGUAAUUUGUAGAGGAUGUUUCGGACACCGCGGUGGUUUAAAUUUCUUGGAACAGAAUGUCACAGAGGGUGAGAGUCCCGUCUGGAACACCCGUAGGAUCCAUGUGAAACUCCUUCGACGAGUCGAGUUGUUUGGGAAUGCAGCUCUAAAUGGGUGGUAAAUUUCAUCUAAAGCUAAAUAUUGGCCAGAGACCGAUAGCGCACAAGUAGAGUGAUCGAAAGAUGAAAAGCACUUUGAAAAGAGAGUUAAACAGUAUGUGAAAUUGUUGAAAGGGAAGCGUAUGCACCCAGACUUGUGAGUUCGAGUUCCCCCGACCUUUUGGUCGGGUUACUCUCGGACGUACAGGCCAACAUCAGUUGGGACGGCUGGUCAAAGGCUCGAGGAAUGUAUCUACCCUUCGGGGUCGACUUAUAGCCUCGGGUGUCAUGCGGCCCUGUCUCGACUGAGGAACGCGCU